UCCAUUCCUCGGUUAAAAGCAGGAGGCACGGAGCGAUUCGGAGGAAAUUGCAAAUAAAAAACCAAACAAAUCAAAUCAAAUCUAGUGGCGACACCAAAAACGAGGAAAUGAGUGAAAAAUAAAUCCCCAGAAGGUACUCAUGCUGUUUUAAGAGCAUCAUGUGGUGUUUCAGAACUGGGUGUCACUGCCCCAAGAGGUGGCACCUCUUCUCACUGCCUUGCUGCAUUAAUACAAAAGACCCUUGUAUGUCAGCAUUCUUCUACAUCAAGGUCACCUGCUCAGAGCUGUCAUCUUCAACCAGAGUCCUCUUCUCCAAAUCAUGUACAACGCACAAUCACUUGCAGUCUUUCUUCAGAUUUCACAAUCACAUUAAUACGUUUUCCUGUAGUAGCUUUAUAAGGCGCAAGAAGAAGUAAGCACAAGAAGGAGGGCAAGACCAAAGGAACAAGAGAAAUCUUUAGAAGACAGACGUUGGUGUAAAAACAGCUACUGGGAACGUCAUGUGCACCCAUCACACAACAAACUACUUGGCUGUAUUUUGACACCAGCUGUCAAACUGUGACCAAGCUGUUUAACAAAUACCACUCUCAUAGGUGUGCAAAGACACCAAGUGACAUUUGGAGUGAUCUGAUACAUCACCCUGAAAUGACAGACUGUAAAGAACUGAAAACUAUGCUUCGAUAUUGAGAGGGAGAAAAUAAGGGGAUACAAAACACCCUCAUUCAUUCCGUCUCCAGGUUUCUCCUACAUCAAAUCACUUCAUUGAUAUUCAGCCCAUUUUUCCAGGUCUGCAUCACAUAUAUUCCAAUUCUUGUGCAAUCAUAAAUUAGUACCCCAAAAGAAGAUAAAGCAGCAGUAGAUUUGUAACAAAGAAUUUAAGGACUAAGCUAAUGCAUUAAAGGAAUUCCAAGAUUUGCAUUAAAGCCAUCCCAAGAUUGUUGCAUGAAUAGAUGGUUUGUAAUAUCAAUUUUCUGCAUCCUUUCAAGAGAUAUAUUGGAUGGAAAAGAAUUCCAUUUACUCCACUGCAGCCUUGCUUCCUCAGACUGAAUCCAUCAGCUCUAUUGAUGACACUUCUUCCUUCCAUGCUGUAUUCUCUCUCCAUUCAUUAAUGUAUUUAUUAUGUCAACUCAUCGCCAGUCACACAUUUUAUACAUCUACAUACUGUUUUAUUAUUUAAAUAAGAGUAAAUAACUAAGCUUGAAAGCACAGAAACAAAUAGGUCAUCAUUAAAGGGCACAAGCAAUAGAGGUAGAGGUCACUUGAAAAGUAGGGCACCCAAGAACAGUAGCAUGAAGGCAGACAAGGACUUUAACUUGGAAUAUAAAUGUAACAUACCACAUGAAAAAUUCAGUUAAAUAUCCAUAUUAACCACCAAAUCCUGAAGAAUUACCACCACUAUUUUGAUGACUCAUCAGUAAAAACUACCUAAGCAUUACAAUGUUCAGCUUGAUAGCAUGCCUUCCUUACACAAAACAGUACUUACAAAACCUGGGUCAUAAUUGCAUGAUGUAAUUUGUAAAGCUGCAUGACUCCAGUAUCAAUCAUCAUACCAAAGAUAGGACUACCUAACCAAAGGUAUCUUAAGGGGUGACUGGUAAGGAUGUAGGUAGUAAGGGGAGGAAAUGAAGAGUGAACCUCAGAACAAGAGAUUUACACCAAUACCAGAAGACAGGUUUCUAUGACUGGCAAUUGUGUGAAGGCCAACAGGGCUAGGCUGUGAUGAAUCUAAAGAGCAGAUUUUAGAGAACUGUGCUUCUCUGAGAUGGGGAUCUGACAUACAGCAGACAAUUAAGUAAAGCCAAAGAAAACAUGGUGACUGGAGGUCCCAUUGAAACAAAUGGCAAUUCAAAAUUACUACUGGAACAGAUCAAGAAGAACUAUAUCAUUCUCUAGGUUAUUUAAAUAUAUUCUCAUAUUCUUCAGCUUAGAGUACCUUAAAAAGGAGAAUUAAGUUUGGAAGAUUAAUAGCUCUCACUUCCAAGUUAGAAUAACCUUAAGAUAUUCAGCCACUGAAAUGUAUCAGAAAAAAAAAGAAAAAACUCACCUCUGGUGACAGAACUUUACUACAGAAGUAAAGGAGAAGUAAUCUCGUACAUCUAACACUGCAAAAAUUUAUAGAAGAUUUUGGACUAAAAAGGAUGGCAGAAAUUGGGACAACCUUCUAUCAUAUUCAUAGUUAAUCUGGCUAGCACAGAUGAAUGGGAAAACAAUCAGGCCUCUGUGGAUUGCUCAUACAGUCCUCCCUCUGGGGUACAGUAAUGCACUGGCACUGCUCCCACUUUUCCCUCAAGAACCGAACUCUCUUCUGAAACAAAACACUGCAGAAACCAAAUAAGCAGCGAGGAAAAAAUCGAUCCAUCUGGCAGCACCUUUGCAGUUACCUGCAAGGCUCAGCAGCCUUUUCCUAAGCCACUUCACUGCGGGAGAGGGAGACAGCAGGGAAGGUUUAUUAGAACACGGCGCCUACGGAGCCGCCGGCCGUGCGAGGCUGGCAGGGGACCCCACCCGGGCAGGGGGCCGGGACGGCCCGGCGCCUCCGGAGCACGGGGGCGGUCGGCACGACCCCGAAUCAGCUCAGGAGGGCAAGUGGAGCUCCGGGCUGCGGCCCCUCCGCCUCCCGCCCGAACCCCGCACCGAGCCGCCCCUUCCCUCGCCCGCCCGGGCCCCGCCGCCCGCGGAGCCCCCGCGCCCAGGGCCAGCGGCGACGGGCGCGGCCCGAGAGCGGCGUGGGCUGGGGUGUGGGUGCAAGCACAGCAGCAGGAAGAAGCGGACAGCUCCACGCGGACACAGCGGGGGAGCGGGGCGGGGGCUUAUUUAUAUCCCGGGCACUAAUUUGGGAAGCGGGAUAACCCGCCCCGCACGGCACCUGCCGCCA